rnacentral:rRNA from 1 species
CCUACGGGUGGCAGCAGUGGGGAAUAUUGCGCAAUGGGCGAAAGCCUGACGCAGCGACGCCGCGUGAGGGAUGAAGGUCUUCGGAUCGUAAACCUCUGGCAGCAGGGAAGAACGGUCACGGUGCUAAGCAGCAGUGAAUGGACGGUACCUGCAAAGGAAGCACCGGCUAACUCCGUGCCAGCAGCCGCGGUAAUACGGAGGGUGCGAGCGUUAAUCGGAAUUACUGGGCGUAAAGCGCUCGGAGGCGGUAUGUCAAGUCAAGGGUGAAAUCCCCGCGCUCAACGUGGGAACUUCCUUUGAAACUGGCAACCUGGCGUGUGUGAGAGGCUAGUGGCAUUCCCGGUGU